rnacentral:pre_miRNA from 1 species
AUCAUACUCCCUCUGUCCGAAAAUACUUCUCAUCAAAAUGGAUAAAAGAGGAUGUAUCUAGACGUAUUUUAGUUCUAAAUACAUCUCUUUUUAUUCAUUUUGAUGACAAAUAUUUUUGGACAGAGGAAGUACUUU